AUGUUAUUGGUUUAUGCAGUUAAUGACAGCCAUGGUGUUCCUGAGGACAUUGCUGAUGUUGUUAAAGAUAUUAAUGAUGGAAUGUAUUCUCUUAACGUUGAUGAUGGUGAUGGCAGCUUGCAGUUGUCUGUUACUCAGUCUCAAAGUGUUGAUGGCACUGAGCAUGUUACCCCGGCUAAGGAUGUUCCUAUGCACAAAGCUGAUGCGGAUAGUGUUGCUGUGAAAAUUGGUCCAAGCAAACUUGGUGGCUCCCCUGUUCGUCGGAGUCCACGAGGUUUGACAAAUACGAAGCCUUCUUCAUAUCCUCUUCAAGAGCGGUCUUUGUUGAAAGAAAAUAAGAAGCGUAAAGUUCAUCCUGCAAAGGUGAACAAAGGUGUGAAGAAGCGUGCUCGUGUCGAAGCUUAA
rnacentral:rRNA from 1 species